GGGCCUGUAGCUCAGUUGGUUAGAGCCCACCGCUCAUAACGGUGUUGUCGUAGGUUCGAGUCCUACCGGGCCCACCA
rnacentral:tRNA from 2 species